ACGAGACUUGCCCCCCAAAAGAUCCUCGUUAAAGGAUUUAAAUUGUACCCAUUCCGAUGACAGACCUCGAAGAGGACUGUCUCGUUAUUUUUCGUCACUACCUCUCCGUUCUGGAAGUGGGUAAUUUGCGCGCCUGCUGCCUUCCUUGGAUGUGGUAGCCGUUUCUCAGGCUCCCUCUCCGGAGUCGAACCCUUAUUCUCCGUUACCCGUUACUACCAUGGGAGGCGUAUAACCUACCAUCGAAAGUUGAUAAGGCAGACACUUGAAAGAUACAUCGCCAGUACUAGGACUGUGCGAUUGGCAAAGUUAUUCAGAUUCACCAAAUUACGGGCCGAAACCCGAUUGGUUUUUAUUCUAAUAAAUGCGCUCGUUCCUUGCGGACGGAGCUUUUUUGCAUGUAUUACCUCUAGAAUUGCCACAGUUAUCCAAGUAGGAUAACUAUAUUCUAGUAAACGGUGGCUGUUGUAAUGAGCUAUUCGCGGCUUCACCGUAUUAAGGCAUGUGCUUAAACAUGCAUGGCUUAAUCUUUGAGACAAGCAUAGGACUACUGGCAGGAUCAACCCGAACGGCUG
rnacentral:rRNA from 1 species